rnacentral:lncRNA from 1 species
CGAAGAAUAAGGGUAAGCUCAAGGCCACUUGGGCUCUACAGUGAGUUUAAGAACAGACAGAAUUACAUGGUAAGACCCUGUCAGAAAAACAAAACGGUGUCAGCUUUGCAGGCUAGGAAUAAACUCUGCUUAAAUGCAUUUUAGGCAGGAUAUCAAGCUGGGAGAGAAACUGUUUUACAAACGACCGGGUUAUAAUACACCAUUUGAGCACCACUCACACCAGGAGGGAUCUGUUUCUGUUGCCACAGCUCUGAAGGCAGACCGUGAAGCUGGAGCCAAUCAGUGGAUUUCUGCUGGCUGCAGGCUGCAUUGGAAGGACCCUGGAAAACCCUCAAACCACGCAAUGGUAAUGGUGUGGGAUGGUGUCCCGAGGUGGGAAGGACUGGGAUGGGAUGUGGCGAGGUUAACCCGGA